CGGUGUUCAACUGGCGUGUCCGCGGGACGUCCUGCCGGUGGGCUUAGCCCGCAAGGGCGGCCCAACUUCAAAUCCCAUCGCGGUGCUCUUCACUGAGUGUCGAGGUGGGCCGGCACGUUUACUUUGAACAAAUUAGAGUGCUUAAAGCAGGCUAAAACUUCGCCUGAAUACUGUGUGCAUGGAAUAAUGGAAUAGGACCUCGGUUCUAUUUUGUUGGUUUUCGGAACCCCGAGGUAAUGAUUAAUAGGAACGGAUGGGGGCAUUCGUAUUGCGACGUUAGAGGUGAAAUUCUUGGAUCGUCGCAAGACGGACAGAAGCGAAAGCAUUUGCCAAAAACGCUUUCAUUGAUCAAGAACGAAAGUUAGAGGUUCGAAGGCGAUCAGAUACCGCCCUAGUUCUAACCAUAAACGAUGCCAGCUAGCGAUCCGUCGACGUUCCUCCGAUGACUCGACGGGCAGCUUCCGGGAAACCAAAGCUUUUGGGUUCCGGGGGAAGUAUGGUUGCAAAGCUGAAACUUAAAGGAAUUGACGGAAGGGCACCACCAGGAGUGGAGCCUGCGGCUUAAUUUGACUCAACACGGGAAACCUCGCCAGGCCCGGACACCGGAAGGAUUGACAGAUUGAGAGCUCUUUCUUGAUUCGGUGGGUGGUGGUGCAUGGCCGUUCUUAGUUGGUGGAGCGAUUUGUCUGGUUAAUUCCGAUAACGAACGAGACUCUAGCCUGCUAACUAGGCGUAUUUUCGACAUCUCAAAGGUCCGUCGUCCCGGCCCUCGGGUCGUGGGCGUGCGCGAUUUUUACUGUCGGCGUACUAUCAAUUCUUCUUAGAGGGACAGGUGGCUUCUAGCCGCACGAGAUUGAGCAAUAACAGGUCUGUGAUG
rnacentral:rRNA from 1 species